AUUGAACGCUGGCGGCAGGCCUAACACAUGCAAGUCGAGCGAGCGGCGGACGGGUGAGAAAUGUAUGGGGACUGCCCGCUAGAGGGGGAGAACUACUGGAAAAGGUGGCUAAAACCGCAUACUAUCGGAUAACCCAUAUGGGAUUAGUUAGUAGGUGAGGUAAUGGCUCACCAAGGCGCCGCUCCCUAGCUGGUCUGAGAGGAUGAGCAGCCACACUGGGACUGAGACACGGCCCAGACUCCUACGGAGGCAGCAGUGGGGAAUAUUGCACAAUGGGGGAAAGCCUGAUGCAGCCAUGCCGCGUGUAUGAAGAAGGCCCUAGGGUUGUAAAGUACUUUCAGUAGGGAGGCGUUACCGACAGAAGAAGCACCGGCUAACUCCGUGCCAGCAGCCGCGGUAAUAC
rnacentral:rRNA from 1 species